rnacentral:rRNA from 1 species
UACGUAGGUGGCAAGCGUUAUCCGGAAUUAUUGGGCGUAAAGCGCGCGCAGGCGGUUUCUUAAGUCUGAUGUGAAAGCCCACGGCUCAACCGUGGAGGGUCAUUGGAAACUGGGGAACUUGAGUGCAGAAGAGAAAAGCGGAAUUCCACGUGUAGCGGUGAAAUGCGUAGAGAUGUGGAGGAACACCAGUGGCGAAGGCGGCUUUUUGGUCUGUAACUGACGCUGAGGCGCGAAAGCGUAGGGAGCAAACAGG